rnacentral:rRNA from 1 species
AGUGAACGCUGGCGGCGUGCCUAAUACAUGCAAGUCGAACGGAGAUUAAGUAGCUUGCUAUUUAAUCUUAGUGGCGCACGGGUGAGUAAUAUAUAGCUAACUUGCCCAUUACUAAGGGACAACAGUUGGAAACGACUGCUAAUACCUUAUACUCCGUAUCUAUAUAAGUAGAUACGGGAAAGUUUUUCGGUAAUGGAUAGGGCUAUAUCGUAUCAGCUAGUUGGUAAGGUAAUGGCUUACCAAGGCUAUGACGCGUAACUGGUCUGAGAGGAUGAUCAGUCACACUGGAACUGAGACACGGUCCAGACUCCCACGGGAGGCAGCAGUAGGGAAUAUUGCUCAAUGGGGGAAACCCUGAAGCAGCAACGCCGCGUGGAGGAUGACACUUUUCGGAGCGUAAACUCCUUUUCUUGGGAAAGAAUUAUGACGGUACCCAAGGAAUAAGCACCGGCUAACUCCGUG